GAGCAUUGAUUGAAGUUUUUCCAUUUUUGUACAGCCUAUUUUUCCCACUACAUGUUUCAUAAAACUAGUGGUACAAUGUUAGCAUGCUACACUAAAAAUCUACCUUUGAGUAGGGAUUAUGACAAAUAAAACAAGUAGCACUCUACACUAACAAUCUACCUUUGGGUGGGGAGUAUGACAAAUAAAAUAAGCCACAUAUUGUUGGGUAAGAUAUCAUUUUUCUUUUCUU
rnacentral:misc_RNA from 1 species